rnacentral:rRNA from 1 species
CCUACGGGAGGCAGCAGUAGGGAAUCUUUCACAAUGGGCGAAAGCCUGAUGGAGCAACGCCGCGUGCAGGAUGAAGGCCUUCGGGUUGUAAACUGCUUUUAUAAGCGAGAAAUAUGAUGGUAACUUAUGAAUAAGGAUCGGCUAACUACGUGCCAGCAGCCGCGGUCAUACGUAGGAUCCGAGCAUUAUCCGGAGUGACUGGGUGUAAAGAGUUGCGUAGGUGGCAUAAUAAGUAGCUAGUGAAAUCUGGUGGCUCAACCAUUCAGACUAUUAGCUAAACUGUUAAGCUCGAGACCGUUAGAGGUAACUGGAAUUUCUAGUGUAGGAGUGAAAUCCGUAGAUAUUAGAAGGAACACCAAUAGCGUAGGCAGGUUGCUGGGACGGUUCUGACACUAAGGCACGAAAGCGUAGGGAGCAAACGGGAUUAGAUACCCCAGUAGUC